rnacentral:rRNA from 1 species
GAUGAACGCUAGCUACAGGCUUAACACAUGCAAGUCGAACGGGAAUUACUUUAUUGAACUUCGGUCGAUUUAAUUUAAUUCUAGUGGCGGACGGGUGAGUAACGCGUGGGUAAACCUGCCUUAUACAGGGGGAUAACAGUCAGAAAUGACUGCUAAUACCGCAUAAGCGCACGGAACCGCAUGGUUCUGUGUGAAAAAACUCCCGGUGGUAUAAAGAUGGACCCCGCGUUGGAUUAGCUUGUUGGUGGGGUAACGGCUCACCAAGGCGACGAUCCAUAGCCGGCCUGAGAGGGUGAACGGCCACAUUGGGACUGAGACACGGCCCAGACUCCUACGGGAGGCAGCAGU